UCCCGAGUCUGUCAACCAAAUUGAGGAACAAUCAAAUAAAUUAAACAAUCUAUUGAGAAAAAACACGAAACAGUCUGUUGAGAUCAGAGAGUUGAAAAAAGACUUGGUUGAAAUGCAAGAAAUGAAUGAAAAGUUGGUAGAAGACAACAAUAAGAUGAAGAAAGCGAUAUCCCGGAUUGAACAAAAACUUGCUGUUUCGGAGGAGCAGCUUUCGAAUAAAACCGAACAAGAAACAAGAUUAAAACCAACUCCAUCUC